AACGAACGCUGGCGGCAUGCCUAACACAUGCAAGUCGAACGAGACCUUCGGGUCUAGUGGCGCACGGGUGCGUAACGCGUGGGAACCUGCCCUUAGGUUCGGAAUAACUCCCCGAAAGGGGUGCUAAUACCGGAUAAUGUCUUCGGACCAAAGAUUUAUCGCCUUUGGAUGGGCCCGCGUUGGAUUAGCUAGUUGGUAGGGUAAAAGCCUACCAAGGCGACGAUCCAUAGCUGGUCUGAGAGGAUGAUCAGCCACACUGGGACUGAGACACGGCCCAGACUCCUACGGGAGGCAGCAGUGGGGAAUAUUGGACACUGGGCGAAAGCCUGAUCCAGCAAUGCCGCGUGAGUGAUGAAGGCCUUAGGGUUGUAAAGCUCUUUUACCCGGGAUGAUAAUGACAGUACCGGGAGAAUAAGCUCCGGCUAACUACGUG
rnacentral:rRNA from 1 species